CCCACAGAGCAGAUGGCCCAUCUGGCCGGGUCCCUCCACAGGCAUCCUGGGGGAGGCCUUCCAGAGGGGUCCAUGCACCAGCCUCACCUGCUACCCGCCUGCCCGGCCCGGGGCCCAGCCCCACUCCCUCCUCCCGGGGCCUCCGGCGAGAUCUCAGCUCAAGGAAACCUUUUCUCAGUUAUCCCGUUAGGGAUGUGGCUUCCGUGUACGGUCUGGCAGCGGCCAGAAUGGGACCCCUGAGUCUCCCCUGCCGCAGGCUGCAAGGCCAGGAAGAAAUGCAGGCUGCUUCCCAGACCUUCUCGGGAUUGGUUUCCUGGCACCUUUAGGAAUGGUCUCCAGAAUGAAUAGCAUCAACUCAGGAAUCCAGAAGACGGAGGCGGGCAGGAAAAAAGAAAAAGCCCAGGAGAUCUAGGUGUUAGACUUUAUCUCCUUCUGGGGCCGGGAACCCUUCGUCACAGAUGACCUCAAAGAUUUCUCUAGACCUUCCAGAUGGAGCUAACAGACUUUAUGAGCCAGACACGCGCCUAUCAAAUAAUCAGUCUGUAACAGUUCGAUCAAGGUGGACUGAAAUGGUUUGCGGGACCAAAGUUUAAAGGAAGAAAUUCUGAACAGAGCCCAGGGGCAGAGAAAAAGAACAGGUCAAAAACCGGGCUAGGACAGAAGGCAGAGAUAUAAGGAAAGCUUUUGUCUCCGGGCAAUUAAUCAUGAAACUCAACACGUCAGCGAUGGGGCCCAAGCAUAGAAUCGUGUCAAUUUAGACCCGCGGCUUGGUCUGUAGCAAUACCGUGUUUCAUUAGGGCUCCUUUUCCACAAGACUCGUAAACUCUUUGAGACAACAGAUGUAAUCAUACAGGUGCAUUUUCCAAAGCGACGAGGGCAACAGUGCUUUGCGCACAGUAGGUGCUCAACAAAUGCUUGCUGUUGGACUAUUUGAAUUAAUUUAUGGAUAAAGCAACUGAACCCAGAGAAAGUCAGCUCCCUUCAAUAUUUAUCCACUCAUGCGAUAAAUACGCUGUUGGUGCCGAAUGCAGAGCAAACACUGUCUGGGCGCUGGGCUGGUCCCGCCUCCCAGAGCUCAGUCUAGGAGACACAGCCAACGAUCCGGGCGACACAGCACGAUGAGUGCCAUGGUGUAGGAGCAACGGAGGAGAAAGUACCUUAGAUGAGUGAAAACGCUGCAUUUUUCGAACGUCUGACUUCCAUACUGGUCUUCCCGUGGCCUGAGACCCGGAUCUUGCUGGCCUUUGCUAGUUCUGGCCUCCUCCACUCGUACAGGCUGCACACUGGAGGCCUUGCUUGGCACACAGUAGAUAUUCAAUAAAUACACACUUACUGACGAAAAGUGCAUUGAGGCCUGACGACAAGCAGGAUUUCAACAGCCAGAGAGCGGGAGGAGGGCAUUCCAGACAAAGGGAACAGCAUGAGCCAAGACAUGGAGACAUAAAGGACCAGUGAGCAGUUGGAAGUCACUGGAAACCAGGCGCAGAAAGAAAUUGGAACUAAGGUCAUAGCUCUUUAAAAAUUAAACGCUGUGGGGGCGCCUGCGUGGCUCAGUCGGCUGAGCAUCCAACUCUUGAUUUCGGCUCAGGUCGUGAUCCCGGGGUCGUGGGAUCAAGCCCCACGUUGGGCUAUGUACUGGCAAUGGAGCCUGCUUGGGAUUCUCUCUCUCUCUCUCUCUCUCUCUCUGUCUCUC